CGAUUACGGCUCAGUAACACGUAGCUAACCUACCCUUAGGACGUGGAUACCCCCGAGAAAUUGGGGUUAAUCCGCGAUAGAUGUAAUGUCCUGGAAUGGUAUUACGUCUAAAGGUAUUUCAUACAUGUUUGAAAUAUGCCUAAGGACGGGGCUGCGGCCGAUCAGGCUGUUGGUGAGGUAAUGGCUCACCAAACCUUUGACCGGUACGGGCCAUGAGAGUGGUAGCCCGGAGAUGGACACUGAGACAAGGGUCCAGGCCCUAAGGGGCGCAGCAACCGCGAAACCUCCACAAUGCACUCACGUGCGAUGGGGCUAUCUCGAGUGCCACCUGAUGAAGGUGGCUUUUCCUUGGUCUUCAAAGCCUUGGGAAUAAGAGGGGGGCAAGACUGGUGUCAGCCGCCGCGGUAACACCAGCCCCUCGAGUGGUGGGGAUGAUUAUUGGGCCUAAAGCGUCCGUAGCCUGCCGUAUAAGUUUCCCGUUAAAUCCAGCGUCUUAAGCGCUGGACCGCGGGAAAUACUGUACGGCUAGAGAGUGGGAGAGGUCAGCGGUAUUCUGGGGGUAGGGGCGAAAUCCUUUGAUCCCCGGAGGACCACCAGUGGCGAAGGCUG
rnacentral:rRNA from 1 species